rnacentral:rRNA from 1 species
GUGAGACAGGUGCUGCAUGGCUGUCGUCAGCUCGUGUUGUGAAAUGUUGGGUUAAGUCCCGCAACGAGCGCAACCCUUAUCCUUUGUUGCCAGCGRUUAGGYCGGGAACUCAAAGGAGACUGCCAGUGAUAAACUGGAGGAAGGUGGGGAUGACGUCAAGUCAUCAUGGCCCUUACGACCAGGGCUACACACGUGCUACAAUGGCGCAUACAAAGAGAAGCGACCUCGCGAGAGCAAGCGGACCUCAUAAAGUGCGUCGUAGUCCGGAUUGGAGUCUGCAACUCGACUCCAUGAAGUCGGAAUCGCUAGUAAUCGUGGAUCAGAAUGCCACGGUGAAUACGUUCCCGGGCCUUGUACACACCGCCCGUCACACCAUGGGAGUGGGUUGCAAAAGAAGUAGGUAGCUUAACCUUCGGGAGGGCGCUUACCACUUUGUGAUUCAUGACUGGGGUGAAGUCGUAACAAGGUAACCGUAGGGGAACCUGCGGUUGGAUCACCUCCUUA